rnacentral:rRNA from 1 species
UACGUAGGUGGCAAGCGUUGUCCGGAUUUACUGGGCGUAAAGUGUGCGCAGGCGGCCGCGCAAGUCGAGUGUGAAAGCCCCGGGCUUAACUUGGGAAUUGCGCUCGAAACUACGUGGCUGGAGUGUGGCAGAGGAAGGUGGAAUUCCAGGUGUAGCGGUGAAAUGCGUAGAGAUCUGGAGGAACACCGAUGGCGAAGGCAGCCUUCUGGGCCAACACUGACGCUCAUGCACGAAAGCGUGGGGAGCAAACAGG